rnacentral:lncRNA from 1 species
AAAAAAAGCAACAUAGACGAGAGACUGCGCAAAGUAAAAUUUGGCGACUAAACCGAAAGCCUCGAUAUCAUCUAUAUUUAAUGACUACUUAAGUUGAGAAUAGUAUUCGAUUUUUUACACUUUUAAAGGAGGACGAAAUGUGACAUUAUGUUCAUUUUUCUUGUUUGUUAAACUCCAUAACCACCACCAUGCUCUUUUGUUUUAAAAUAACAUUGACAAAAAUCAUUUUCUAACGCAUAUUUGGAAAUCAUAAACACCAAUCUAUAAUUGCUUUAGUUUUUGAGAAGCAUAACUAAAUCAUCCUCUCAAAUACAAGGAUACUAUUUUGGACAGAAUGGAUGGAUAUUGACAGUUCAAAUCGUUGCGAUACUUUUUAUUCUUAUAAUAUGGAAUUACAAAUACCGUGAUUAGCCUUACUCCGCAUUAGGGUACUGAAAACAUCUAAACCCAUCCUACUCUAUCUUGCGGUGACUGCUUAUCUUUUGCAACCCACAUAUCGGUUUUCAUUGUGUAUCAUCUUCCUGGAUAUCCUUUGUAAUAGUUUAAUCGUAGUAGAUAAACAAGCAAUGAGUAAGAAAAAAAAUGUAGUACGACGAUGAUGUGUUUUCUCAAGAUGAUAACGGAUCUAGCUUCGCCAUCAAUAAGUAUGAGGCAAAGGAGUCCAUCUUUGAUGAAACAUCCAUUUGCCUGUUGUACAUUUUUGCAGGACAACCAGCCUGAGCACAAGAGACAUGGUGUACUAGACUUUGUGCGGAAUGUCUACUUCAAAACUCGCAUCUUUAUAUCUGAUAUAUAGAGAUAUAGAGAUAUAGAGAGAGGCUGAUGAUUUAUAAACACAAACGAUAAGACUUGUAACAUGAAGUUUGUCGAAAAAGUCAAUCUUUAAAUCCCUUUCUGGAUUUCUUUCUAUGUUCGAGCUUUGGUACCAUGCUUUUAGUGCGGUCAUUUAAAGGCAUAGCGAUGAUAGUUCUAAAGUUACUGUAUUGAUCAAUUGGAAGAACAUCCAAAUAAAAAAAAGCAUGCAAAAUGCUAGUAUUAUCAGUAACUGCAAAUAAAAAAAGAUAACAAAAAUUUACAGGAUCAUCGAGAAGAGUAGAUACUGAUAAUAUUGAGAUCCACAGCACUCAACAACAGUCUUGGAUUUAUUUAGCCAUUUGCUUAACUUACUGUCUCAACAAUAUUGUUGUUUGGCAUCGCCAUAAAUAUAUGACCUAGAAGUAAAAUUCGUGUUGUCGAAACAAUUCCAAUCGGUUCACUUUUCUCUUUCAAAAGUAUAUCGAAGUAGGAAUGAUGUACUCCCAACUGCGGAUGGAAAAAGUUCUUUAUCGAUUUUAAUAUCUGGUGUUGUGGAAAAAAACGAAAUACGAUCAAAAUUGAGAAAAUUAAGAAAGAAUAUGAAUAUGGUUUUACUUAUUUUACUACCCAUGAUGUCGUUGGUUAAAAACAUGAUGUUAAGGGUGAACCGCAGCAUAUUGGUCGUUUUUAAUUAAGGAAUUGAAUGACUUUCAAAGAUGCACAGUAAUCCUUCCUUAAUCACCAUUUUAGAUUUAUUAAUUUCAACAUACGCUCUCCAUGUACUUGGAAUCGAAUUGAGAACUUGUUAUGCCACAAAUGAAUAUCUUUUUAUUGAGUAACAUCGUUAAUAAAGCAAAUGCUUCACGGUAUUUUUUGAAAUCUUUGACAGUAUUUGUUCAGCUGGGAUGGAUGAUAAUUUGACGAGGCACAUUCCUUAUACGCAAACGAAAGAUACAAUUUCGCUUUGGCAAAACAUUGCAAAUGUUGCAAUUGUCCCAAUUAUAUAUGCAUCAUUAAAUUUGCUUAGCAUUACUUUUUCCUUGGUAGUUACAUUCAGUGCCAAACAACCGCUUUAACCUUUCAUACAAAACUUUUGUGUAUUCACAGAAGCAUCCACUGGGCGGGAAACCAUUUUUCUUGUUUCUGCAUGUAUUCUUAGAAGAGAUUUAAGCUUUCCCUUGAAUUUUCGAAUGUUGAUAAAAACAAAAUAAUAGACUUUGGAAAGGUGAUUCAAUGAAUAAACAUGAAACGUUCACCGUACAUUAAUUAAGCAUCCUUUUCGACCACCCUGACUUGUUCUCUCAUCACAUCUUGAUAACCAUUUACACGAGAGAUUUAAAUGAAGAAGAAUGAAAAAUUCACUUUGACGAGUCUUGGAACCCCUAACUUGGAAAGGCACAGAUCAUGAUUGCUACAAAAGCAUUUGCACUCGGUUUCAGCUAUAGGAAGUGUGAUUGGUCGUACAUGAUGGAUUGACAUUCUCGUCUAUUUGGAUCACAUACAGAAGACAAGCCAAGUCAGAGCAGACAAUACGUAUGCGAUUGAGACAUUAUUUUUGUGAAAUUUAUGAUUCUUCCACAUGUUUGAAUGAUGUAGAAGAUGUACAGGAAACUUUUAAUGAUGAUACGAUAUCGGUUCAAUCACAAUUCAUAAGCGAAACGAAUGCCAAAUACUAAUACUAUAUAUCCAUGAAUCAUUUACCAAUAGUAUUUUUACUGUUCGUGAAUGCUGAGAAAGUUUAUGUCUAAUGUAUUAGCUGUGUCAACCAUUUAUAGUGUGAAGCCACUUUCCACUUGCAACGCUAAGGAUACCGAGACGCAGGAUACCUAGACGCACAAAUACAUUAUGCUAGUGGCACGGCCAAAAUUAUUUACUCCAAAGUCUUUAUCCUCUUCGUUUAUAUCGCUAACAAGAAAUCGUAGUCACAAAUGUACAUACGUUGAAACAUUUGAACAACGUACAACAAGCCAAUAAUGACAAGAAUGGAGAUGAAAGUGGUGAUGGUUAGUGGUAGUCGUGGUAGUAAUGGAAGUGGUAAGUGGAAGUGGUAAGUGGAAGUGGUAGUGGUAGUGGUGCUGUGCUGAUGCUGGCGCCGAUACUGGUGAUGAUGUUGAUGCCUAUACUGACACUAGUACUGACACUAGAUGACACUAGUACUGGUACUAAUGGUACCAUUCAACUUGGCAAGUAUAAGACUUAUGUGUGUAAGUGGUAAAAAAUCAAUGAGUAAACUCCACUAAGAAAAUUUCACAACUCCGUUGAUUCUUUUGAGUAUACAAACAUGAACGUUCAAGUUUUACCUUUGUUAAUUCAAUUCUAAUUAUACUGGUUUGUACUUGCUAAGCAUGCCCUGUUCACUUAUCUAAUUCGUUUCAAUUGCGGCAACUCUGGUCCGAUUUAUAACUCGAAGAACUGAGUUUUUACCCUUUGGAUAAAGUUUGUCAACAUACUUACAACGAUUAUGGUCUCCACUCCUGACGUAGUUCCAUGUGGUAAUAGAACACAAACUUCAAAAUCUCAUCACUAUAUUAUACUUGGUACAACAUGCAAUACCGAUUGUAUAUACCGAAUACAGUUUCCUAUUGCAAUGAAUGUGAUUUAAUCAUUUUAUGGGAGUUUUUUCAUUUAAAACUGCUUUAAAUCUAAAAACUCUUCUUUAUUCUUGACACUCGUAUAUGUUGUCUGAUAUUCCUAUUCGUGUUUCAAUAACGAAGUUUACUUUCAUUCAAAUAAAUAGAACCAAUCAAGUUUACUAGUGCUUAUUUUUUUCUUUUUUAAUAAAAAGAAUGAAUAUUAGGUGUAUGAUAUGAAUACGUUUUUGUUUGUUUGUUUGCAAAUUAAAAUUAAAAACAACAAAAAAUUAAAGCUACUGAUUUAACUUUGCUUAUUCCAUAACACUUCUUACUCAAUCUCACAU